GAUGAACGCUGGCGGCGUGCCUAAUACAUGCCAGUCGAGCGAACAGAUGAGGAGCUUGCUCCUCUGACGUUAGCGGCGGACGGGUGAGUAACACGUGGAUAACCUACCUAUAAGACUGGGAUAACUUCGGGAAACCGGAGCUAAUACCGGAUAAUAUAUUGAACCGCAUGGUUCAAUAGUGAAAGACGGUUUUGCUGUCACUUAUAGAUGGAUCCGCGCCGCAUUAGCUAGUUGGUAAGGUAACGGCUUACCAAGGCAACGAUGCGUAGCCGACCUGAGAGGGUGAUCGGCCACACUGGAACUGAGACACGGUCCAGACUCCUACGGGAGGCAGCAGUAGGGAAUCUUCCGCAAUGGGCGAAAGCUUGACGGAGCAACGCCGCGUGAGUGAUGAAGGUCUUCGGAUCGUAAAACUCUGUUAUUAGGGAAGAACAAAUGUGUAAGUAACUAUGCACGUCUUGACGGUACCUAAACAGAAAGCCACGGCUAACUACGUG
rnacentral:rRNA from 1 species